rnacentral:misc_RNA from 1 species
UUGAUUUAUUUAUGGUUUUACUCAGAAGUUACAUAUAGAAACAGAGUUUAGGGGUCCUCUGGCGGGCCGUCCCGUUUUACCGGGAGCGGGCUGAUCCGCCGAGGCAACAAGUGGUAUGUUCACAGGGGUUUGGGAGUUGUAAACUCGGUAAUGAUCCCUCCGCUGGUUCACCAACGGAGA